GAUGAACGCUGGCGGCGUGCCUAAUACAUGCAAGUCGAGCGAACAGACGAGGAGCUUGCUCCUCUGACGUUAGCGGCGGACGGGUGAGUAACACGUGGAUAACCUACCUAUAAGACUGGGAUAACUUCGGGAAACCGGAGCUAAUACCGGAUAACAUGUUGAACCGCAUGGUUUAACAGUGAAAGACGGUCUUGCUGUCACUUAUAGAUGGAUCCGCGCCGCAUUAGCUAGUUGGUAAGGUAACGGCUUACCAAGGCAACGAUGCGUAGCCGACCUGAGAGGGUGAUCGGCCACACUGGAACUGAGUCACGGUCCAGACUCCUACGGGAGGCAGCAGUAGGGAAUCUUCCGCAAUGGGCGAAAGCCUGACGGAGCAACGCCGCGUGAGUGAAGAAGGUCUUCGGAUCGUAAAACUCUGUUAUUAGGGAAGAACAAAUGUGUAAGUAACUAUGCACGUCUUGACGGUACCUAAUCAGAAAGCCACGGCUAACUACGUG
rnacentral:rRNA from 1 species